AUUUAUAUAGUUUAAAAAUUAAAACAUUAUAAUUUCAUUAUAAAGAUAAUUAAUUUAAUUUGUGAAUU
rnacentral:tRNA from 1 species